CCUACGGGAGGCAGCAGUAGGGAAUAUUGCUCAAUGGGGGAAACCCUGAAGCAGCAACGCCGCGUGGAGGAUGAAGGUUUUCGGAUUGUAAACUCCUUUUGUUAGAGAAGAUAAUGACGGUAUCUAACGAAUAAGCACCGGCUAACUACGUGCCAGCAGCCGCGGUAAGACGGAGGGUGAACGCGUUACUCGGAAUCACUGGGCGUAAAGAGGGCGUAGGCGGGAUAGCAAGUCAGAUGUGAAAUCCUAUGGCUUAACCAUAGAACUGCAUUUGAAACUGUUAUUCUAGAGUAUGGGAGAGGUAGGUGGAAUUCUUGGUGUAGGGGUAAAAUCCGUAGAGAUCAAGAGGAAUACUCAUUGCGAAGGCGACCUGCUAGAACAUAACUGACGCUGAUGCGCGAAAGCGUGGGGAGCAAACAGGAUUAGAUACCCCAGUAGUC
rnacentral:rRNA from 1 species